rnacentral:rRNA from 1 species
AUGGAUCCUUCGGGAGAAAUAAGGAGUGGAAAGUGGCGAACGGGUGAGUAACGCGUGGGUAACCUGCCUCAUGGAAAGGAAUAGCCUCGGGAAACUGGGAGUAAAGCCUUAUAUUAUUAAGACAUCGCAUGGUGUUUUAAUGAAAACUCCGGUGCCAUGAGAUGGACCCGCGUCCCAUUAGCUAGUUGGUGAGAUAACAGCCCACCAAGGCAACGAUGGGUAACCGGUCUGAGAGGGCGAACGGUCACACUGGAACUGAGACACGGUCCAGACUCCUACGGGAGGCAGCAGUGGGGAAUAUUGCGCAAUGGGGGCAACCCUGACGCAGCAAUACCGCGUGAGUGAAGAAGGUUUUCGGAUCGUAAAACUCUUUUAUUGGGGAAGAAGAAGUGACGGUACCCAAUGAAGAAGUCCCGGCUAACUACGUGCCAGCAGCCGCGGUAAUACGUAGGGGACAAGCGUUGUCCGGAAUCACUGGGCGUAAAGGGCGCGUAGGCGGUUUUAUAAGUCAGAUGUGAAAGGUACCGGCUCAACCGGUGACGUGCAUUUGAAACUGUAAGACUUGAGUACUGGAGAGGCAAGUGGAAUUCCUAGUGUAGCGGUGAAAUGCGUAGAUAUUAGGAGGAACACCGGUGGCGAAGGCGGCUUGCUGGACAGAUACUGACGCUGAGGUGCGAAAGCGUGGGGAGCGAACAGGAUUAGAUACCCUGGUAGUCCACGCCGUAAACGAUGAUGACUAGGUGUUGGGGAAACUCAGUGCCGCAGUUAACACAUUAAGUCAUCCGCCUGGGGAGUACGACCGCAAGGUUGAAACUCAAAGGAAUUGACGGGGACCCGCACAAGCAGCGGAGCAUGUGGUUUAAUUCGAAGCAACGCGAAGAACCUUACCAGGCCUUGACAUCCUCUGACCAUCCUAGAGAUAGGAGAUUUCCUUCGGGAACAGAGAGACAGGUGGUGCAUGGUUGUCGUCAGCUCGUGUCGUGAGAUGUUGGGUUAAGUCCCGCAACGAGCGCAACCCUUGCCUUUAGUUGCCAGCAUUAAGUUGGGCACUCUAAAGGGACUGCCGUAGACAAUACGGAGGAAGGUGGGGACGACGUCAAAUCAUCAUGCCCCUUAUGGCCUGGGCUACACACGUGCUACAAUGGGUUGGGACAAAGGGAAGCGAAGCCG